rnacentral:rRNA from 1 species
UACGGAGGGUGCAAGCGUUAUCCGGAUUCACUGGGUUUAAAGGGUGUGUAGGCGGGUCUUUAAGUCAGUGGUGAAAUCUCCGAGCUCAACUUGGAAACUGCCAUUGAUACUAUUGAUCUUGAAUUCUGUUGAGGUUGGCGGAAUAAGUCAUGUAGCGGUGAAAUGCAUAGAUAUGACUUAGAACACCGAUUGCGAAGGCAGCUAACUAAGCAGAUAUUGACGCUGAGGCACGAAAGCGUGGGGAUCAAACAGGA